AACGAACGCUGGCGGCAUGCCUAACACAUGCAAGUCGAACGAGACCUUCGGGUCUAGUGGCGCACGGGUGCGUAACGCGUGGGAACCUGCCCUUCGGUUCGGAAUAACUCCCCGAAAGGGGUGCUAAUACCGGAUAAUGUCUUCGGACCAAAGAUUUAUCGCCUUUGGAUGGGCCCGCGUUGGAUUAGCUAGUUGGUAGGGUAAAAGCCUACCAAGGCGACGAUCCAUAGCUGGUCUGAGAGGAUGAUCAGCCACACUGGGACUGAGACACGGCCCAGACUCCUACGGGAAGCAGCAGUGGGGAAUAUUGGACAAUGGGCGAAAGUCUGAUCCAGCAAUGCCGCGUGAGUGAUGAAGGCCUUAGGGUUGUAAAGCUCUUUUACCCGGGAUGAUAAUGACAGUACCGGGAGAAUAAGCUCCGGCUAAAUCCGUG
rnacentral:rRNA from 1 species